rnacentral:rRNA from 1 species
UGGGGAAUUUUGGACAAUGGACGCAAGUCUGAUCCAGCCAUGCCGCGUGCGGGAAGAAGGCCUUCGGGUUGUAAACCGCUUUUGUCAGGGAAGAAACGAGUUUCUCUAAUACAGAGACUUAAUGACGGUACCUGAAGAAUAAGCACCGGCUAACUACGUGCCAGCAGCCGCGGUAAUACGUAGGGUGCAAGCGUUAAUCGGAAUUACUGGGCGUAAAGCGUGCGCAGGCGGUUAUGCAAGACAGAUGUGAAAUCCCCGGGCUCAACCUGGGACCUGCAUUUGUGACUGUAUAGCUAGAGUACGGUAGAGGGGGAUGGAAUUCCGCGUGUAGCAGUGAAAUGCGUAGAUAUGCGGAGGAACACCGAUGGCGAAGGCAGCCCCCUGGGAUAACACUGACGCUCAUGCACGAAAGCGUGGGGAGCAAACA